ACACAUACAGAGAGAGAGAGAGAGAGAGAGAGAGAGAGAGAGAGAGAGAGAGAGAGAGAGAGAGAGAGAUAUGCACACCUAUAUUCAUAAUGGAAAAUAUAAAUGUAUCUUUUAAGAGAGAUCUUGGAGUCAGACACUGGGCCACCAACCAGGAAGCACAGACCAGCUGAUAUGAGGCCCCUAACACACAUACAGCAGAGGAUUGCCAGGUCUGGACUCAAUCAGAGAAGAUGCACCUAACCCUCAAGGGACUGGAGGCCCCAUGGAGUGGGGAUAUCUGAUGGGGUUAAGGGUAGAGACAUCCUCGUGGAUAUGGGGGAAGGAGUUAUGGGAUGUGGAACAGUCAGAGGGUAAACCAGGAAGGGGAUAAAAUGUGGACUGUAAAAAAAAAAGAUUAAAUAAAAAAAAGGAAAAACAAAUUUAAAUGUAGAUGAGAAAGUAGCAAAAUUUAUAAAUGGUAUAAAAAUCUUUGCCUGUAAUACAAGGAGAGUGAAGUGCUCAAAUUUAAACUGGGGAUGUUCUAGAGUGUUAUCCUUAAGGAGAUCAGAGCUCAUUAAACAAAUUCCAGAAGGAAGCAUCAAUAUGAUAGGAACUUCAGGAAACAGCAAUGGCAAUUCCUAUUUAGGUAAUGGUGUGACAAACAUAGAGGUUACAGAAUUGGGGUAACUCACUUAGCAUGCCACCACAGUCUCCGAAGUUGUUUUUUUAAUCAUAUUUAAGUAUAUCAUUUCAUCUUUCUAUUUCAUGAAAAUAAGAGUGAGGCCUAUAUAAAGUAUUAAAGUGAAACUAUACUUUUCAAGUAAUUAAAAUCGAAUAUAAAAUAUGCACUCUGAAGUCUUAUAUGCUGAGUUACAAUAUUCUAGGAUUUUCUAAUAUAAAAAUGAAAAAAAAACAGAACUUGCUAGAAAAAUAAUUAUAGGGCGAUAAAAAAAUCUUGUUAGAUUUCAAGCUGAAUUGUGAAGAGGGUUUAACUCCAAACUGCGAUUUAAGGCAUUUUUAAUUCUUCUUCUUUCACAAAAUGCUUGCUACACAAAAAUGUGUCUGGAUCAUUGGAUUAGUUAAUGAUAUUAUUCCUUGGUCUCAUCAAAUAUCUUCUAAAUAUUUGAGAUUUUAUAACGGAGAGAUCAUUUAAACACUUUAAUUUUCUUCUUCUUAAGCAUCUUGGAAUAAUAUAAACAGACAUGUAUAAAUAAUUCAUGUAUACUCUAUAUCUCUCGCUUGCUUUAUAACAUGAUACUCCUAUGAAUUUAAUAUUUGUGUUAAACAAAAGAUGAAUACUGCACUACAUAAGGAACAAAAUACUUAAUGAAUUAAUCAUAAAAUAUAGGUGGAAGAAUAUAUGUAUAUAUGAAAUAAUUAUGUGAAUACUCUAUUGUGGGGAAAUUAUACCAAUAUUUUAAUGUCCUUUAGAAAGUAUAUCAUUAUACCUAAUGACAUAAUAAUAUAUGGACAUUAUAAAUGGGGGAAUGUUUACAAGAAGACCUUCUGGAAAGGAGUGGUAAAUAAGCAUACAUUAUGUACUUGGUUACAGGGUUACAGGCUCAACUUCACAUCUUCAUUUUGUAUAAAAUGCUUAGAAACAAUUUUUUUACUGAUGAAAUUCAGUUCUAUUAACGCAAAUUGGGUAAUCAUGUAUCUAAUUGACCACUUAGUUUGUAGUUAAAUAAUUAUUGUCAUCAACUGCCUGUUUGCACAUUAAAUGAAGACCAGGUGAAAAUGUUAAUUAGAUUAAUGACUUUACAUAUUUUUUUGUUAUUAAAGAAAGAGGUUUUCCUGCUCUUUCUAUAGUUUUUCAAUUGCUAGUAAAGAUCAUUUCCCUUGACCUUCCAACAUUGAAUCUACAAGAUAAAUUUGGACAGUUGAUUGGGCAGUAGCUCUCAUUUGGAAGGAACACAGGGUCCCUAAUGAAGGAGCUAAAGAAAGUACCCAAGGAACUAAAGGGGUCUGCAAGCCUAUAGGAGGAACAACAAUAUGAACUAACCUGUCCCACCCCCCACCGCCCGAGCUGAGUCUCUAGUUGCAUAUGUAGCAGAAGAUGAUCUAGUCAGCCAUCAUUGGGAAGAGAGGCCCUUGGUGUUGUGAAGAUCAUAUGCCACAGUACAGGGGAAUGCCAGGGCCAAGAAGUGAGAGUGGGUGGGUUGGGGAGCAGGACAGGGGAAAGAUAUAGGGGGGUUUAGGGAUAGCAUUUCAAAUGUAAAAGAAGAAAAUAUCUAAUAAAAAAGUCU
rnacentral:lncRNA from 1 species